rnacentral:rRNA from 1 species
ACGUCAAGUCAUCAUGGCCCUUACGGGCUGGGCUACACACGUGCUACAAUGGCGGUGACAGUGGGCAGCCACUCCGCGAGGAGGAGCUAAUCCCAAAAAGCCGUCUCAGUUCGGAUUGUUCUCUGCAACUCGAGAGCAUGAAGUCGGAAUCGCUAGUAAUCGCGGAUCAGCAUGCCGCGGUGAAUACGUUCCCGGGCCUU